rnacentral:rRNA from 1 species
AGUGAACGCUGGCGGUAGGCCUAACACAUGCAAGUCGAACGGCAGCACAGUAAGAGCUUGCUCUUACGGGUGGCGAGUGGCGGACGGGUGAGGAAUACAUCGGAAUCUACUUUUUCGUGGGGGAUAACGCAGGGAAACUUACGCUAAUACCGCAUACGACCUACGGGUGAAAGCAGGGGAUCUUCGGACCUUGCGCGAUUGAAUGAGCCGAUGUCGGAUUAGCUAGUUGGCGGGGUAAAGGCCCACCAAGGCGACGAUCCGUAGCUGGUCUGAGAGGAUGAUCAGCCACACUGGAACUGAGACACGGGCCAGACUCCUACGGGAGGCAGGAGUGGGGAAUAUUGGACAAUGGGCGCAAGCCUGAUCCAGCCAUACCGCGUGGGUGAAGAAGGCCUUCGGGUUGUAAAGCCCUUUUGUUGGGAAAGAAAAGCAGCAGGUUAAUACCCCGCUGUUCUGACGGUACCCAAAGAAUAAGCACCGGCUAACUUCGU